rnacentral:lncRNA from 1 species
GGUUUAUUGAAAUGAAUUUAAUAUCUCAUGUUGCAGCAAAAUUAAAAAUAUACAAAAAGUUUGUGGUAUACAAAAAAGUCUCAGUACGGUGGCACACAGAGUAUUUACAGUCRGCGGCGGGGUGUUUGCAGGGUGUUGCGGGGAGGGGGCCGGGCACAGCAGCCCCACGCCCRCCGCCCACCGCCCGCCGCUUCCCCCGCUUGGAAAAACCAUCGGCCCUGGCGAAGAGCAAUCGGAGAUUGGUCCCGGUGCCGGUGCCGGUGCCGGUCCCGGUGCAGCCCUGGCCCCUUCCCCGCACCCGGGGCGGCCCCGCUGCUGGCCCCAGCCCGGUGCAGGGUGCUAUGGCGGGUGCAGCCCCCUCGGCGUCCCGGGGGCCGCGGUGCUGCCGGCCCGGUGCUGCCGCCGGACGAGGAGGCUUGGAAACCCCGUUCCCGGGAGCCGGGUUUUGCCUUCCCCGGGGUUGGGUCCCGGUGGGGGUCGGCAGCCCGGAGCGCGGCAGAGGGGCAGCCCCGCGGCGGCUCCCUCCAUCCCGGCACGGCGCAACACGGCACGGCACGGCGCCCGGGAGCAGCCCGAAGGCUGGGGGUACCGUGGCUUGAGUGCAUAGAAAAGCGUCCCCGAGCUGCCCGCUCCCGGCUCGCGCGGCGCCUGCCCACGGGGACGGGGCCCCCACGCGAAGCCGGACCGGCGCCUGGCUCGGGGGGGCCCUGUGGGGCUGCACAGGGGGCUGCAGGGCUGCGGCACGGCGGCGGCACGGCCACAUCGGGCUCCGCGGCCCUCGGCAAAGGCAGCUUCCAGGCUGUGCCGCUGGGAAGUGUCCCCAGGGCACGGUGACGCCGAGCAGCAGCCCUCCUCCACCCCUCCGAGGACCGCAGCGCUCAUCACACGGGUGACUCGGAGCUGCGUGCCGGGCCGGAGGCUGCCAGAGCCAUCCCGCACCCCGGCCGCCCCGCACCCCAGCUGGCCCCCGGGUCACGCCAGGAGCGGUUCCCCGAGGGAAACACAAAGCUCCUGCUCGGAAAGCGGCCGCUGAACCGGAGGCUCGUGGGGAUCCGGCCCUGCGGCUGCAGCACCCGCCGGGGCACYGGGAACCACCGCACCCCGGGCACAGGGAGCCGCCGGGACACACGGAGCCGCUGGCACAGGGAGGCUGUGCCGGGCCGGUUUUGGCCCGUGGAUGGCGGUGGAGGAGGCACGCGGGUCGCGGGGGGGCCCAGCCCAUCUCCCCGACCCAGCGAUGCUCUACAGCCUCCCCAAAAGGGUUUUCCGAGGCGUCCAGUUAGCACCAGUUAGCACCAGUGACCCCAGCAACGGCCCCCCCAGCCCGCAUCAUCCAGGGCCUUCGAGCUACGGAGRAAUGGGAAAC